rnacentral:rRNA from 1 species
AGAGUUUGAUCAUGGCUCAAAAUGAACGUUGGCGGCGUGGAUUAGGCAUGCAAGUCGAGGGAGAACCCGCAAGGGGGACACCGGCGAACGGGGUAGGAUCACGCAGGUGACGUACCCCCAGGGCGAGGAUAGCCACGGGAAACUGUGGGUAAUACUCGAUAAUCUUCUCGGCUAUGACGGCUGGGAAGCAAUGGGUGAGAUUCCACCUGGGGAGCGGCUUACGCAGUAUCAGCUAGUUGGUGAGGUAACGGCUCACCAAGGCUAUGACGCUUAGGGGGUGUGAGAGCAUGGCCCCCACCACUGGCACUGAGACACUGGCCAGACACCUACGGGUGGCUGCAGUCGAGAAUCUUCGGCAAUGGACGAAAGUCUGACCGAGCGACGCCGCGUGCGGGAUGAAGGUCUUCGGAUUGUAAACCGCUGUCAGAGGGGAUGAAAUAUACGAGAGCUAUCUCUUGUAUUUGACAGAGCCUCAGAGGAAGCACGGUCUAAGUUCGUGCCAGCAGCCGCGGUAAUACGAACUGUGCGAACGUUUAUUCGGAAUCACUGGGCUUAAAGGGUGCGUAGGCGGUUUUCUAAGUCANGUGUGAAAUCUUCCGGCUCANCCGGAAAACUGCGCCUGANACUGGAUAACUUGAGU